UGCGCAGGCGGUUAUACAAGACAGGCGUGAAAUCCCCGGGCUUAACCUGGGAAUGGCGCCUGUGACUGUAUAGCUAGAGUGUGUCAGAGGGGGUAGAAUUCCACGUGUAGCAGUGAAAUGCGUAGAUAUGUGGAGGAAUACCAAUGGCGAAGGCAGCCCCCUGGGAUAACACUGACGCUCAUGCACGAAAGCGUGGGGAGCAAACA
rnacentral:rRNA from 1 species